rnacentral:rRNA from 1 species
AUUGAACGCUGGCGGCAUGCCUAACACAUGCAAGUCGAACGGGGCAGCAAUGCCUAGUGGCGGACGGGUGAGGAAUACGUAGGAAUCUGCCCUUAAGUGGGGGAUAACCAGGGGAAACCCUGACUAAUACCGCAUGAUCUCUUCGGAGCAAAGAGGGGGACCGCAAGGCCUCUCGCUUCUGGAUGAGCCUACGUCUGAUUAGCUAGUUGGUAGGGUAAAGGCCUACCAAGGCGACGAUCAGUAACUGGUCUGAGAGGAUGAUCAGUCACACCGGAAAUGAGACACGGUCCGGACUCCUACGGGAGGCAGCAGUGGGGAAUAUUGGACAAUGGGCGCAAGCCUGAUCCGGCAAUGCCGCGUGUGUGAAGAAGGCCUUCGGGUUGUAAAGCACUUUAGCCUGGAAAGAAAAAACUUUGGUUAACACCCAAAGUCUUGACGGUACCAGGAGAAUAAGCACCGGCUAACUCUGUGCCAGCAGCCGCCGUAAGAC